GGUAACGUAAGCUUGUAACUCAAGUGGGGGCAUCAAGGUGUUUGGGCACUGUUCAAGCCCAACUGACUGGAUUUAGGUCUGCAACAAACUGGUCUGCCCAUUUCAAGCAAGGAAUUGGACCAUGUGGUUCAAGCGAAAGUUUGAGCUGCCUGGUUCCUAGAGCAGAGGAGACCGCGUCAGGCUGGCUUCACAGAGCAGUGAUAACCUCUCCUUCCUUGCAGUGGAAGGAUAACAGGCCGGUGCUUCUUGAUCCAGAAAAGUCAGAUGUGCUUGUUCUAAUUGGACUUUCACCUUUUUCCCCUUUUUUCAGUGUUGUUUACCAAAUUGUAGAAACGCACAAGCUAAUUCUCUUCUAGUUUUCACAGAGCAGCGAUAACCUCUCCUUCCUUGCAGUGGAAGGAUAACAGGCCGGUGCUUCCUCAUCCAGAAAAGUCUGAUGUGCUUGUUCUAAUUGGACUUUCACCUUUUUCUCCUUUUUUCAGUGUUGUUUACCAAAUUGUAAAAGCGCACAAGCUAAUUCUCUUCUAGUCUAGCUAGUGAAAACCCUAUGAACAAAU
rnacentral:lncRNA from 1 species